GGGCGAAUGGUUUAGUGGUAUAAUACUCCCUUAGCAUGGUCCAAACAUCUGGGAGUGGUCCAGGGUUCGAUUCCCUGUUCGUCCA